UACAGAGGUCUCAAGCGUUGUUCGGAUUCAUUGGGCGUAAAGGGUGCGUAGGUGGCGGGGUAAGUCAGGUGUGAAAUCUCGGGGCUCAACCCCGAAACUGCACUUGAUACUGCCUUGCUCGAGUACUGGAGAGGAGAUUGGAAUUUACGGUGUAGCAGUGAAAUGCGUAGAUAUCGGGAGGAACAUCAGUGGCGAAGGCGGCCUUCUGGUCCAGUACUGACACUCAAGUGCGAAAGCGUGGGGAGCAAACAGG
rnacentral:rRNA from 1 species